GACAGCGAUCGAUAGAAUCGAUAUCCAAAUCUCCUGAAAAUGGUGGUGUCACUGAAUGAUAUUCGUCUUUAUCUUUCCCAGGGGACUUAUGUCAAACACCAGCAUGCUUCGAAACAUUUCAAGCGGAGUGUUCGGGCCGCUGCUGGGAACUUCUGUCUUCGUGAAGAGGUCCUGUACCAUGGGAACAGAAGGGUCAUUUGGACAGAGGAGGAGAAAGUGGCUGUGUUAACCGAAGCCCAUGCAGGCCAUUUUGGACCACGGAGGAUGCAAGCGAAGAUUGCUCCCCGGUUUUAUUGGCGGUCCAUCACAAAGGACACAUUGGAUUGGGUGCGCACAUGUCCUGACUGCCAGCGCUUUGAAAAAUGAAAGACCGAGGCGCCUGAGCUGAAGCCCAUCAAGGUCGUAUCACCUUGGUACAUGGUUGGUGUGGACCUCUUUGGACCUGUGAAAAAGUCGUCUAAGGGGAACAGAUAUUGUCUCACUCUGACCGAUUAUUUAAGAAAGAGAGUUAUGGAGGUUCUUCCAAACAAUAUGGUUAGGCUGGAGACCCUGGAUGGAAAGCCCAAGCAUAUGAUGACCCCGUAUGCAUCACUGAAACCUCUGCGCCCGA